AGUGAACGCUGGCGGUAGGCCUAACACAUACAAGUCGAACGGCAGCACAGUAAGAGCUUGCUCUUACGGGUGGUGAGUGGCGGACGGGUGAGGAAUACAUCGGAAUCUACUUUUUCGUGGGGGAUAACGUAGGGAAACUUACGCUAAUACCGCAUACGACCUACGGGUGAAAGCAGGGGAUCUUCGGACCUUGCGCGAUUGAAUGAGCCGAUGUCGGAUUAGCUAGUUGGCGGGGUAAAGGCCCACCAAGGCGACGAUCCGUAGCUGGUCUGAGAGGAUGAUCAGCCACACUGGAACUGAGACACGGUCCAGACUCCUACGGGAGGCAGCAGUGGGGAAUAUUGGACAAUGGGCGCAAGCCUGAUCCAGCCAUACCGCGUGGGUGAAGAAGGCCUUCGGGUUGUAAAGCCCUUUUGUUGGGAAAGAAAAGCAGCAGGUUAAUACCCCGCUGUUCUGACGGUACCCAAAGAAUAAGCACCGGCUAACUUCGUG
rnacentral:rRNA from 1 species